ACUGCAUUACAUACACACACACUGCAUUACAUACACACUACACAGGCACAGACACUGCAUUACAUACACACACUACACAGACAGACACUACACACACACCACAAACACAUACUGCAUUACAGACACACACUACACUGCACACACACUGCAUUACAUACACACACUGCAUUACAUACACACUACACAAACACAGUACACAUACUGCAUUACAUACACACACACUGCAUUACAUACACACUACACAUACACACACACUGCAUUACAUACACACUACACAAACACACACUGCAUUACAUACAUACACACUACACAAACACACACACUGCAUUACAUACACACACAAAAACACACUGCAUUAUACACACACUACAUAAACACACUGCAUUAUAUACACACUACACACACUGCAUUAUAUACACACUACAUUCAUUAUACACACACUACACAAACACACACCCUGCAUCCACUACACACACACACACACACUACACAAACACACACAGUUCCCCUGUCUAAACACACUUCAUCCACUACAUGUGGCA